GUGGACGAACCUCUGGUGUACCGGUUGUGACGCCAGUCGCAUCGCCGGGUAGCUAUGUUCGGAAGGGAUAACCGCUGAAAGCAUCUAAGCGGGAAGCCUACCUCAAGAUAAGAUUUCCCUAGGACUUUAUGUCCUCUAAAGAGCCGUUCGAGACUAGGACGUUGAUAGGUUGGAUGUGGAAGCAUAGUGAUAUGUGAAGCUGACCAAUACUAAUUGCUCGUGAGGCUUGACUAUACAACACCCAAGCAGUUG
rnacentral:rRNA from 1 species